UCCNGGUAUUUCUUCUGGUGCUUUGGUAGC
rnacentral:piRNA from 1 species